AGUUGGUUCUGUGGCUCUUUUCAUGAGU
rnacentral:piRNA from 1 species